CAGUCAUAUGUUCCUCGUGAACAUGGCAUACUGCUCAGUAACACGUGGAUAACCUGCCCUUGGGUCUGGGAUAACCCCGGGAAACUGGGGAUAAUACCGGAUAACGCAUAUGUGCUGGAAUGCUUUAUGCGUAAAAUGGAUUCGUCCGCCCAAGGAUGGGUCUGCGGCCUAUCAGGUAGUAGUGGGUGUAAUGUACCUACUAGCCAACAACGGGUACGGGUUGUGAGAGCAAGAGCCCGGAGAUGGAUUCUGAGACAUGAAUCCAGGCCCUACGGGGCGCAGCAGGCGCGAAAACUUUACAAUGCGGGAAACCGUGAUAAGGGAACACCGAGUGCCAGCAUCAUAUGCUGGCUGUCCAGAUGUGUAAACUACAUCUGUUAGCAAGGGCCGGGCAAGACCGGUGCCAGCCGCCGCGGUAACACCGGCGGCCCGAGUGGUGACCGUUAUUAUUGGGUCUAAAGGGUCCGUAGCCGGUUUGGUCAGUCCUCCGGGAAAUCUGAUAGCUUAACUGUUAGGCUUUCGGGGGAUACUGCCAGGCUUGGAACCGGGAGAGGUAAGAGGUACUACAGGGGUAGGAGUGAAAUCUUGUAAUCCCUGUGAGACCACCUGUGGCGAAAGCGUCUUACCAGAACGGGUUCGACGGUGAGGGACGAAAGCUG
rnacentral:rRNA from 1 species